rnacentral:sRNA from 1 species
GUGUGCGGGCGCAGUUGCGUGAGGGGUUUGUGCCAUCCUUGGUGCUGUGGUGCAGAGCUAGUUCCUCUCCAGCUCAGCCGCGUAGGUUUGGACAUAUUUGACUCUUUUCCCCCCAGGUUGAAUUGACCAAAGCAAUGGUGAUGGAGAAGCCUAGUCCCCUGCUGGUCGGGCGGGAAUUUGUGAGACAGUAUUACACACUGCUGAACCAGGCCCCAGACAUGCUGCAUAGAUUUUAUGGAAAGAACUCUUCUUAUGUCCAUGGGGGAUUGGAUUCAAAUGGAAAGCCAGCAGAUGCAGUCUACGGACAGAAAGAAAUCCACAGGAAAGUGAUGUCACAAAACUUCACCAACUGCCACACCAAGAUUCGCCAUGUUGAUGCUCAUGCCACGCUAAAUGAUGGUGUGGUAGUCCAGGUGAUGGGGCUUCUCUCUAACAACAACCAGGCUUUGAGGAGAUUCAUGCAAACGUUUGUCCUUGCUCCUGAGGUAUGUGUAGGAAUGAUUAUUUUGUAGUGAUCCAAUACAUGAAAAAAGAAACAAUGAACUGUUGUGCAUAUCUUUAAAAACACUUGAAAUUUCAGACUUACAGAAAACUUGGAAUAAUAGUACAGUAACUCCUAUAUACUCCUUACCUAGAGCAGCUGUCACCACUUGCCCACAUGUGUAUAAUUCUUUCUCUAAAAUAGUUUAGUGGGCAUUUCCUAAGAAUAAUUCUCUUCCAUUCUGUAGUACAGUUAUCAAAUUCAGGAAAUGUUGAUGCAAUAUAAUCUAUAAUCCAUUUUUAAAAUUUGGAAAUUAUCUCAAUAAUGUCUUAACAGUAAUUUUUUUUCCUUGUCCAACAUGGAAUCUAUAAUUACACAUUGCAUUUAGCUAUCAUGUCUCUAGUGUCUUCUAAUCUGCACUUGUUCCUUAAUCUUUUGUUUUUUUUUAUUGCAUUGACAUUUUUGAAGAGCACACUUUUUUUGUAGGAUGCUUUAUGGGUGUCAUUCAGUGCUUCACAUUAGGCAUAUUAUGUCAUUUAGUUGUGAUAUGAAUUUUGAUUAGUUAGGUUUUGCCACUGUAAAGUUAAAUAUCUUUUCUCUCUCUCUCUUUUUUUGAGACGGAGUCUCGCUCUAUUGUCCAGGCUGGAGUGCAGUGGCUCCAUCUCUGCCCACUGCAACCUCCGCCUCCUG